rnacentral:rRNA from 1 species
UAAGAUCAAAGUGCAACUGAGCUGUCAUAAGCACAAGAUGCGCCUAAAACCACCCUUAAGACGAUCUUAGCACCCCCGAUCCAUUAAACUCCACGAAAGCUAAGGCUCAAACUGGGAUUAGAUACCCCACUAUGCUUAGCCCUAAAUCCUGAUGCUUAUCCUACCAAAGCAUUCGCCUGAGAACUACGAGCACAAACGCUUAAAACUCUAAGGACUUGGCGGUGCCCCAAACCCACCUAGAGGAGCCUGUUCUAUAAUCGAUAACCCACGAUACACCCGACCACUCCUUGCCAAGGCAGCCUAUAUACCGCCGUCGCCAGCUCACCUCCCCUGAAAGUGAAACAGUGAGCAUAAUAGCAACCCGCUAAUAAGACAGGUCGAGGUAUAGCCUAUGGGGUGGAAGAGAUGGGCUACAUUUUCUAACAUAGAAAAACGGAAGAGGACAUGAAACAAUCCCCAGAAGGCGGAUUUAGCAGUAAAAUGAGAUAAUAAUGCUCACUUUAAGUUGGCCCUGAGGCACGUACAUACCGCCCGUCACCCUCC